rnacentral:lncRNA from 1 species
CACAGAGUCAAAACCAGAACUUCCAUCACCUGAGGUCUACGAGGAGGAUCUGAAAGAUCAACCUCUAGAAGAACCUAAUCUGGAACUCUUUACAGAUGGCAGCAGCUUCAUGGACCAACGUAGGAGACAUGCCACGUACGCAGUUGGAACCUUACAAGACACUCUAGAGGCCAAGGAAUAUGACAACCUCCAGAAAGAAAAAUUCUGCAUUGGUAUACAUCACAAAUGACAGAAGAAAGAGACAACGUGGUGGCGGCUGGUCAACAUCCCUCAACCCCCUCCUUCCCAGCCCAUUUCCCCUAUGAACUGCCUCAAGAUUCUGCAUGGUUCUCUGGGACACUAGUCCACC